GGGAGUGUAGCUCAGUGGCAGGGCAUCUGGCCUUGCAUGCAGAUGGUCCCAGGAUCAAUCCCCAGUGGCAAUUCCA